rnacentral:lncRNA from 1 species
AGAUAAGUAUGAGACGAAAGGAUGGAAGAGUUUCAGCACGGGGUCGGACUUAUCGUGAAAACUUGGGAAGUGCCCCGGUUUUCACAAAUUGCCUAACACUUGGGCCUCUCUUUGUUAUGCUCAGGUUUCUGAUGCUUUUAAUUGUUUAAUCAUAAAUCUGUACAAUGAUUGGCAUGCUGGCAUUAUUCCUUCUGAUAGAUAUAAGGAUUCAUAAUUAUUAUGAUUUCAUCAGAUAGAAGGUCUGUCUUUAAAAGUCUUCCAAUAAAUUCUUUUGAGGACUGAAUUGUAUAGUGAUGUGUUUUCAUUAUGGUAUUGACCCAUGUGAUUGUGCCUUUUCCCAGAUUGCAGAGGAGUGACAAAGUCUUAUUAACCAUUGGUCUUAGGGCUACUGGGGUUUUAUAUGUCUACAUAUCCAAACAAAUGUAGAGGCAUUGGCCAGUAAACCCUAUUUACUUUUCAGCAUUUAGGAAACUUUUUUGAGGUUAUGUUUUUAUUAACUUUUCUUGAGAGAUCAUCUGUAGUCUUGUAAUAUUUCUGAGUCAGAAUUUUUAAUGAAAUCAUGCAGGAGAGUCUUACAGGUAUUUUUAUGUAUAAAGGCUAGUUUUUUAGUUUUAUCCUCCCUAGUAUAUAUAAUGUCUUCCUCAAGCAGCCAGUGCCUAGUGAAUGCUGUGGCAGCUUUUGAUUUUUUUCUCAAUGUUAUAUUUUUUAGAUUUAGUGUACUUAUUCCUUUCGCUAACUACCACUCAUCUUGUCUUCUCAUGUUGCACUUUAUCAUAAGCAGUUAGUAAGGGUUCCAGUUAGGGUAUAAUGUCAGUAAAUCUGAGGAUUAUUUCAAUUGCACAAUUAGGUCCUUUGAAUAUAAGUUCUUCUACUGGGGAGAUAUGUAUAUACUAUCAAUGACCAUUAAGACAUCAUCUAUAUUUAAAGCUGGUGUGCGUCUCUUUGUUAACUGAUUGUGAAAUAUCCAUUUUAAUAUCAAUCCAGCAUUAUUUCAGCUAAAAUAAUAUGGAUCUGGUGGCUGUGUUUUGGGAAAGCAUUUAUAAAUUUAAGAAAAAUG